rnacentral:rRNA from 1 species
AUUGAACGCUGGCGGCAGGCCUAACACAUGCAAGUCGAGCGGAUGAAGGGAGCUUGCUCCUGGAUUCAGCGGCGGACGGGUGAGUAAUGCCUAGGAAUCUGCCUGGUAGUGGGGGAUAACGUCCGGAAACGGGCGCUAAUACCGCAUACGUCCUGAGGGAGAAAGUGGGGGAUCUUCGGACCUCACGCUAUCAGAUGGGCCUAGGUCGGAUUAGCUAGUUGGUGGGGUAAAGGCCUACCAAGGCGACGAUCCGUAACUGGUCUGAGAGGAUGAUCAGUCACACUGGAACUGAGACACGGUCCAGACUCCUACGGGAGGCAGCAGUGGGGAAUAUUGGACAAUGGGCGAAAGCCUGAUCCAGCCAUGCCGCGUGUGUGAAGAAGGUCUUCGGAUUGUAAAGCACUUUAAGUUGGGAGGAAGGGCAGUAAGUCAAUACCUUGCUGUUUUGACGUUACCAACAGAAUAAGCACCGGCUAACUUCGUG